GUCUGCAGCCAUACCACCCUGAACGCACUCAAUCUCGUCUCAUCUCAGAAGCUAAGCAGAGUAGGGCCUGGUUAGUACUUGGAUGGGAGAAUCUGCAGCCUGAUACUCCACAGGGGUCAGGGGCAUCUGAAC
rnacentral:rRNA from 1 species